rnacentral:hammerhead_ribozyme from 21 species
UAGCAGUAGGGGCAGUGGUGAAAGCCCCCUGAUGAGAACCAUCCUGAGUUCAAAACUGCUG